ACUGUAGAAAUCUGGUUGCUGGAGUCCGUCCGUUAUAGAAGUUCAUCUAAAAUCCAUAUGUUGUAGAAGUUCGGAUGGAGUCCGAUUCUUGUAGGAGUUCGGAAAGAGGCCGCUUACUGUAGAAGCUCGAAUGAAGACCGAUUGCCGUGGAAGCCCGGAUGGAGACCGCUUACUGUAGAAGCUCAGAUGGAGUCGAUUACCGUAGAAGCCCAGAUGG
rnacentral:lncRNA from 1 species